rnacentral:rRNA from 1 species
GAUGAACGCUGGCGGCGUGCUUAACACAUGCAAGUCGAACGGAAAGGCUCCUGCUUGCUGGGGUACUCGAGUGGCGAACGGGUGAGUAACACGUGGGUGAUCUGCCCUGCACUUCGGGAUAAGCCUGGGAAACUGGGUCUAAUACCGGAUAGGACCACAUUUUGGAUGGUGUGGUGGAAAGUUUUUCGGUGUGGGAUGAGCUCGCGGCCUAUCAGCUUGUUGGUGGGGUAAUGGCCUACCAAGGCGUCGACGGGUAGCCGGCCUGAGAGGGUGUACGGCCACAUUGGGACUGAGAUACGGCCCAGACUCCUACGGGAGGCAGCAGUGGGGAAUAUUGCACAAUGGGCGCAAGCCUGAUGCAGCGACGCCGCGUGGGGGAUGACGGCCUUCGGGUUGUAAACUCCUUUCGCUAGGGACGAAGCGCAAGUGACGGUACCUGGAGAAGAAGCACCGGCUAACUACGUG